rnacentral:rRNA from 1 species
CCUACGGGAGGCUGCAGUGAGGAAUAUUGGUCAAUGGGCGAUAGUCUGAACCAGCCAAGUAGCGUGAAGGAUGAAUGCCCUAUGGGUUGUAAACUUCUUUUAUAAAGGAAUAAAGUGAAGCAUGUAUGCCGUUUUGCAUGUAUUAUAUGAAUAAGGAUCGGCUAACUCCGUGCCAGCAGCCGCGGUAAUACGGAGGAUCCGAGCGUUAUCCGGAUUUAUUGGGUUUAAAGGGAGCGUAGAUGGACUGGUAAGUCAGUUGUGAAAGUUUGCGGCUCAACCGUAAAAUUGCAAUUGAUACUGGCAGUCUUGAGUACAGUAGAGGUAGGCGGAAUUCGUGGUGUAGCGGUGAAAUGCUUAGAUAUCACGAAGAACUCCGAUUGCGAAGGCAGCUCACUAAACUGCAACUGACAUUGAUGCUCGAAAGUGUGGGUAUCAAACAGGAUUAGAUACCCGAGUAGUC